AUGGAUCACAGGGCUCCCAAUGGGAGGAGCUA
rnacentral:misc_RNA from 1 species